rnacentral:tRNA from 1 species
UAUAUAAUAGUGUAAAUAGCACGUUUAAUUUUGAUUUAAGAAGUUUAAGUUUGAUACUUUUUUAUAUAG